rnacentral:misc_RNA from 1 species
UGCGCGCGCACCAGUUGGCUUAUGGAACCACUGUUGUGUGCUCCGUGCAUUACGUCGAAGGCAAAUACUCCCUCUAAUCGGUGUGGACUUGCACGCACCGGUCGGGCUUGAUAAUAUCAAGCCUGUAGACGACGGUUCGCCUAACGCUCUCACCUGAAAGGUGAAAGCGUUAGCUGAAGGCGUCGUAGGCAUUAGUUGGUUGCGUCU